UAUGCAUUUGAAAUUAGAUUUUAUAAAACAAUAAACUCUUUGAGUAGAGACAACAGUUUGUGGGUAUCUGAGCCGGAAACCCUCACGAAACAAAACUCGUCCACUAGGGCCACCUAGGGGUUUAAAGCCUUAUUGCAUAUGGUAAAUGCAAUCGCGAUUCCUGCGAAAGUGAGUUAGUUUUUUUUAUUUUGCUCGAGGACUAGCAAAAUUUAGGUUGGGGGGGUGUGGUAAGUACUAAAUAAUGCAUAAAUUAAUAUCUUAUUCAU
rnacentral:lncRNA from 1 species